GGGGCCGUAAUGGUUUCGACGUGUUGGCGAACACGCAUCCUAUGAUGCAGGCCGAGAGGGAGUCCACUCUCGUAAAUCCAGGCUCAAAAAAACGUAACUGCGAACAACAUUGUUCCUUUUGCUCGUAAAGCGGCUGUUGUGGCUGCCUAAGAGUCCCUAGUUAGUACUAGAUCGACUUCGAGACGUUCUCGGUGACACCGUUAAUCCCCGAACGUACCCCCCCAACGGUUGCCCUAGCGGAGUUUGUGCGGUUGUCCGUUAGUUAAGCCUUAACCGUAAGCCCCUGGCCAGUUUGGGACAAAAUUGGUUCCCGGUGUUUGGAUCAAGACACCUACGCCUGUGAAUGAGUGGGACGUUAAUACCCAGUGCGGACAGCGGUUCGAUUCCGCUCGGCUCCAUUU
rnacentral:tmRNA from 1 species